rnacentral:rRNA from 1 species
AUUGAACGCUAGCGGCAGGCCUAACACAUGCAAGUCGAGCGAGCGGCGGACGGGUGAGUAAUGUCUGGGAAACUGCCUGAUUGAGGGGGAUAACUACUGGAAACGGUAGCUAAUACCGCAUACCAUCGGAUGUGCCCAUAUGGGAUUAGCUAGUAGGUGGGGUAACGGCUCCACUAGGCGACGAUCCCUAGCUGGUCUGAGAGGAUGACCAGCCACACUGAGACUGCGACACGGUCCAGACUCACACGGGAGGCAGCAGUGGGGAAUAUUGCACAAUGGGCGCAAGACGGAUGAAGCCAUGCCGAGUGUGUGAAGAAGGCAUUCGGGUUGUAAAGCACUUUUAGCGGGGAGGCGUUACCCGCAGAAGAAGCACCGGCUAAAUCCGUGCCAGCAGCCGCGGUAAUUC